rnacentral:misc_RNA from 1 species
UUUCCGUAGGUGAACCUGCGGAAGGAUCAUUACUGAGUGAGGGCCCCUCGGGGUCCAACCUCCCACCCGUGUUUAACGAACCUUGUUGCUUCGGCGGGCCCGCCUCACGGCCGCCGGGGGGCAUCUGCCCCCGGGCCCGCGCCCGCCGAAGCCACCUGUGAACGCUGUCUGAAGUAUGCAGUCUGAGACAAUUAUUAAAUUAAUUAAAACUUUCAACAACGGAUCUCUUGGUUCC